UACAGGGGGGGCAAGCGUUGUUCGGAAUUACUGGGCGUAAAGCGUGCGCAGGCGGCUUUGCAAGACAGAUGUGAAAUCCCCGGGCUUAACCUGGGAACUGCAUUUGUGACUGCAUGGCUAGAGUGCGGCAGAGGGGGAUGGAAUUCCGCGUGUAGCAGUGAAAUGCGUAGAGAUGUGGAGGAACACCGAUGGCGAAGGCAGCCCCCUGGGCUGAGAUUGACGCUCAGGCACGAAAGCGUGGGGAGCAAACAGG
rnacentral:rRNA from 1 species